GUAGGUGGCAAGCGUUAUCCGGAAUUAUUGGGCGUAAAGCGCGCGCAGGCGGUUUCUUAAGUCUGAUGUGAAAGCCCACGGCUCAACCGUGGAGGGUCAUUGGAAACUGGGGAACUUGAGUGCAGAAGAGAAAAGCGGAAUUCCACGUGUAGCGGUGAAAUGCGUAGAGAUGUGGAGGAACACCAGUGGCGAAGGCGGCUUUCUGGUCUGUAACUGACGCUGAGGCGCGAAAGCGUGGGGAGCAAACAGGGAUUAGAUACCCUGGUAGUCCACGCCGUAAACGAUGAGUGCUAAGUGUUAGAGGGUUUCCGCCCCUUUAGUGCUGCAGCUAACGCAUUAAGCACUCCGCCUGGGAGUACGGUCGCAAGACUG
rnacentral:rRNA from 1 species